UAAACGUAACGCUAAGGUCUAAUAUUUUACUAUAUUGUUUUUCGUUUAAUUUGGAAUGUACGUUUUCUGCAUUAUAACCGUUAUCGAAAAGCUUUUUUAAUAGCACAAUAUUACAAAAGUUAAAAAUAUUAUCGUGCAAAUAUUUCUUCGAAUAAUAUAUCGCGAGGUUUUGCAGGCAGAUAAAAAACUUGGUUAUAUAUUCUUUUUUUUAUUUUUGAUUUUUUUUCCGAAGAAAAAAGAGAAGGAACAGAUACGGAGAAACCAGCAGAUUUUACCAAAGCCCCAGACGGGUUUUUGGACAAUUUAAAUUCCAAAUUGGGAAUAUGUUAGCCAGGUGGAUAUUUCGGCCUUGCUAUAUAAACUCUAAUAAAACAACGUUUUUCAAUAUUCCUAUUUGAUUUUUCUCGAUCUUCGAUUUUUAAUAGUUUAGCCUGGUUAUUUACAAACAAAAAAUAUUAUUUAUUAAUUUGAAACCAGGUAUUUAAUACUGCCCUUUUUUAAAUAAAAAUAUCCAAUUACUAUGGGAAACACUUUUCGGUCCGUCAAACUAGCAGUUCGUUCGAAAAUUGUAACAAAUAUAUACAAAUUAGAAAAUAACGUGGCCACACCAUUGUUUUUUACUUUGCUUUUCGAAAAGACGAUUAAAAACGUCGGUCGGGCCUAUUGUUUGUUUUACAAAACGAGCGGUAAAAUUCAGUUAGAAAAGCUGCGUCCAAAUUCUAAAUUUAACCAUAUAAUCGCCAAUUUAAAAUUGCUUACUAUUGUAAGAAAGGAAUUCGAUAAUAUAUAUAGCGGGAGGGGUAAAAUUUAUUAAAAUAACAGAGCAUCGUUUGAAAUAUUUAUGGAAUAUCGGUAGAUGGCAGGCUCGAAAUAAUAUUUGUAGGCGUUUUAUAAUAUUACCUGAUAUUGUAAUUAGUUUUCCUAAAGCGCAAAGGUAUUCGCUCCGCCGGAAGCGAUAUUUAAAAAUAAAAAUGGGACAAGUCCGUAGCUUGGAACCGCUUAGGAAAUGUCAUAUAAAUAAGGAAAUAUACUAACAAUAACGCAAAGGUACGGUGCUAUCCAAAAAAUAUAAUUUAAAUGGUGUUAAAGGUUAAAAAGGAAAACAAUGGUCCAAUAAUAAAAAGCAGCAAUGCUAUAACGCAAUAAUAUUCCAAAACACACGCUCCACCUUUGUAUUUUCGUUUUUUACCAAAGUUGGUUUACGUAUCGGAAUUAUACGAUUGGGAGGCGUACCCCCAUAUUUUUGUAUAUAUUUUAUACCCGGCUUACCAUUCCUAAACUUGGACAUAAUCGUCGACAAAUCCUAAAUUAACAGCCGAUCGUUAUCCCUAAUUCCACCUAUCUUAUUUUCACCGAUUCGAACAGGUACGUCCUUAUUAUAAUAUAAAACAGCGGUCUCUGGUUUAUCCUUGGAUUUGCCUGUUAAAUGAAAUAGUUUUUGAAACUUUUUCAAUUUCAGCUUUUCCAUAUUAUAACGCUCCAAAACGAUUGUUAUUUUGGUGCCUUCGAUGUUAAUUUCGUGCGAUUCCUUAUUAUAUUUAUAUGGUUUAAACGAAUGGCAAAUAUCCGGGGCAAAUUAAAUAUCGCCGCCCCAAUCGUUUGCGGUAAAUAAGAGAUAUAUUCGCUCGUCGCUACCUUUGUAAAGUUUGAAAAUAUCGUAACUUAUUAGAACCGGGAUAGGUGGCGAAAUAUAUAUAUACGUUUGGUUUAUUACCGUAUUAAGCCAUUUAUCGUCUUUAAAAAUUUUGUUCCAAACUUGCAUUGCUUUUUCUUGUUUUGGGUAAAGAUUCGCAUUAAUCCCAACCUGUGCCAAUCCUUUUUUUAAAUAAAUGCGAGAUAUAGGAGGUAAAUAUUUUGUAAUUGUGUCGAAAAUUUCUUGUGGUAAAUUCCCGAAAACUGCAAGUUUCUUCUGUUCAAAUAUGGGAUCUAAUACAAAAUAAACUACCCGGCGUAUCGUGCCUGCAAACAAGUAUUAAAUAGCGCAGCGAGGGUUUUUUUAUAAACUAUUACUAUUGCACCCUAUUUAUUA
rnacentral:sRNA from 1 species